rnacentral:rRNA from 1 species
AACGAACGCUGGCGGCACGUUUUAAGCAUGCAAGUCGAAUGGCAGUGGGGGCAACCCCAUGAGAAUGGCGAACGGGUGAGUAACACGUAGGUGAUCUGCCUGACGGAUGGGGAUAGCUUGUGGAAACACAGGGUAAUACCGAAUGAGCUGACGAGACUUUGGUUUUGUUAGUAAAGGUGCUACGGCACCGCCGACAGAGGAGCCUGCGGCUGAUUAGCUAGUUGGGGGGGUAAAGGCCUGCCAAGGCGACGAUCAGUAGCCGGCCUGAGAGGGUGUACGGCCACACUGGAACUGAGACACGGUCCAGACUCCUACGGGAGGCAGCAGCUAAGAAUCUUCCGCAAUGGGCGAAAGCCUGACGGAGCGAUGCCGCGUGAUCGAUGAAGGUCGAGAGAUUGUAAAGAUCUUUUCUACAUGAGGAAUAAGUCUGGGAGGGAAUGCCUGGAUGAUGACGUUAGUGUAGGAAUAAGCCCCGGCUAAUUACGUGCCAGCAGCCGCCGUAA